UACAGAGGUCCCAAGCGUUGUUCGGAUUCACUGGGCGUAAAGGGUGCGUAGGUGGUGAGGUAAGUUUGAUGUGAAAUCUCCGGGCUCAACCCGGAAAUGGCAUUGAAUACUAUCUUGCUAGAGGAGUGGAGGGGGGACUGGAAUACUUGGUGUAGCAGUGAAAUGCGUAGAUAUCAAGUGGAACACCAGUGGCGAAGGCGAGUCCCUGGACACUUCCUGACACUGAGGCACGAAAGCUAGGGGAGCAAACAGG
rnacentral:rRNA from 1 species